rnacentral:rRNA from 1 species
AGGACGAACGCUGGCGGCGUGCUUAACACAUGCAAGUCGAGCGGAAAGGCCCUUCGGGGUACUCGAGCGGCGAACGGGUGAGUAACACGUGAGUAAUCUGCCCCUAGCUCUGGGAUAGCUCCGGGAAAACCGGGAUUAAUACCAGAUACGACCACUUUAGACAUCUGUUGUGGUGGAAAGAAUUUCGGCUAGGGAUGAGCUCGCGGCCUAUCAGCUUGUUGGUGAGGUAACGGCUCACCAAGGCGACGACGGGUAGCCGGCCUGAGAGGGCGACCGGCCACACUGGGACUGAGACACGGCCCAGACUCCUACGGGAGGCAGCAGUGGGGAAUAUUGCGCAAUGGGCGAAAGCCUGACGCAGCGACGCCGCGUGGGGGAUGAAGGCCUUCGGGUUGUAACCCUUUCAGCAGGACGAAGCGAAGUGACGGUACCUGCAGAAGAAGCGCCGGCUAACUACGUGCCAGCAGCCGC